rnacentral:rRNA from 1 species
UGGUGGAGUGAUUCGUCUGGUUAAUUCCGUUAACGAACGAGACCUCGACCUGCUAAAUAGGGUGGCGUACCUUCGGGUAUGUCCACGACUUCUUAGAGGGACUGUCGGUUCUUAGCCGAAGGAAGUUCGAGGCAAUAACA